UGUACCGUCUCGCUGAAUCUUCGUCAUACAUAACGGAGAACGGGGGAACCCGAAGCGGCAUGCUUGUUUCAAAUUCCGAAACUUAAGUUCCGGAAAAAGCGGCCGUGGCCGAUUCCUUUUCCACUGGGUCUACGGGGUGAAUUGGAGAUCUUCUCGCCAUGAGCGGAAGAAUCGCCAUAGGACGACUCUCUUCGUCCGAACCCGACAGCUAACCUCGUAAGCGCAAUAACAAGAGAGA
rnacentral:sRNA from 2 species